UGGUAGUAAAAAAAAUUAAAACCUAUAUGAAUAUAUGGCGGCAUUUAAUCUUACUAGAGGAAUAUGUUUAAUAAUCGAAUUUACACGUUAAAUUUUACUUGAAAUCUAAAUCUUAUAUACCUCCGUCUAAAGAAUAAAUUUUAAAAUAUUAUUCUCAACAAUAUUAUAAAAAGUCAGGUAAAGGUGUAGACCACAUUCAAGAAAAAAAUGUAUUACAUUAAAAAAGAUUUAAGGAAAAAGUAAAAAAUUACUUUCACAAAAAGGAUUUAAAUGCAAUAAAUACAAUAAUAUUUAAUUAUGAAUAAGAAAAAAAAUGUGC
rnacentral:rRNA from 1 species